UCUGCCUGACAUCAUUUGUACAUAUUUAAAUGAGCAAAAAGUGUCCACUUUGGAUAAAGCUGCUGUUUUGGCAGAUGAGUUCCUCUUGACCCAUAAGAUUGAUUUUGACAAAAGACAGGGCGAGCAAAAGGGAAGAGCUUUGUUUCACAGACCUCGUUCUCCAAAGCCUGUGUCCAUGUCUUCUGCUUCCUUCACUGGUAAAUCAGCCAUUGGAAGCGCUUCUUCAGAAAAGGCCUGUUUCUACUGUAAGAAACCCGGCCAUCUUAUUGUUGAUUGCCCUGUCUUGUGUAAGAAACAAAAGUCCUGUAAGCCAGUAGCUUUGAUAAAAACUGUAAAAGAGUCUGCUGUAGCCCCAGCUAUGGAGCAUUCAACUCAAAAGAGUGAGUUAGCUGGCUCUUCAGCUUUUCUUAUGGAUGGUUUUGUUUCCCUUGGUUCUGAUCCUGCAAGCGAGCGGCCUAUUAAGAUCUGGGGAGAUUCUGGAGCUUUUCAGUCUUUGAUCCUCGAGGACUUCCUCCAGUUUACUGAUGAAUCUGCUCUGGGUUCUAGCGUUGUUGUCGAGGGGUUCGGUGGGGGUUACUUGUCCUGUCCUUUACAUAAUCUUAACCUUCAAACAGCUCUGGUCUCUGGAGAGGUAGCUGUGGCUAUUUGUCCAUAUCAUGAUCAUUGUCUUGCGGGACAUAUGGGAGUUCGAAAGACUUUGGACCGUGUGUUGAGGCAUUUUUUUUGGCCUGGUGUGAAAAAGGAUGUUGCUCAACACUGUAGAACAUGUCAUGUGUGCCAAACUGUUGGUAAACCUAACCAGAAAAUCCCACCUGCGCCCUUACAUCCGAUUCCAGCUAUUGGAGAGCCUUUUGAGCGAAUCCUGAUUGAUUGUGUUGGUCCACUCCCUCGCACCAAGUCAGGUAACCAGUACUUAUUGACUAUCAUGUGUACGGCUACUCGGUUCCCUCUAACCAUUCCCCUGCACAGAAUUACAGCUUCAGCGGUUUCUAAGGCUCUAAUUAAGUUCUUCACUGUGUUCGGCCUUCCCAGGGUUGUUCAGACUGACCAAGGGUCAAACUUCAUGUCCCGUGUUUUCUCUCAAGUGCUCAAGCAGUUGUCUAUCCAGCAUUGUACUUCGUCUGCUUAUCACCCAGAAUCUCAGGGAGCCCUGGAGAGGUUCCACCAGACUCUCAAGUCAAUGUUAUGGGCCUACUGCAGAGAGUUUGAGAAAGAUUGGGAUGAUGGAACCUGUACAGGUACUUACAGGUGUGUUACUCGCCUGUACAGGUACUUACAGGUGUGUUACUCGCCUGUACAGGUACUUACAGGUGUGUUACUCACCUGUAUAGUACAGAUAGGUGUGUUACUCAUCUGUACAGGUACAUACAGUUGUGUUACUCACCUGUAUAGUACAUACAGGUGUGUUACUCACCUGCACAGGUACAUACAGGUGUGUUACUCACCUGUAUAGUACAUACAGUUGUGUUACUCGCCUGUACAAGUACUUACAGGUGUGUUACUUGCCUGUACAGGUACAUACAGGUGUGUUACUCACCUGUAUAGUACAGACAGGUGUGUUACUCAGCUGUACAGGUACAUACAGUUGUGUUACUCGCCUGUACAGGUACUUAGAGGUGUGUUACUUGCCUGUACAGUACAUACAGGCUUGUUACUCACCUGUGCAGGUACAUACAGGUGUGUUACUCAGCUGUACAGGUACUUACAGGUGUGUUACUUGCCUGUACAGGUACUUACAGGUGUUUUACUUGCCUGUACAGUACAUACAGGCUUGUUACUCAUCUGUGCAGGUAGAGACAGGUGUGUUACUCAGCUGUGCAGGUACAUACAGGUGUAUUAUUCGCCUGUGCAGGUACUUACAGGUGUGUUACUUGCCUGUACAGUACAUACAGGCUUGUUACUCAUCUGUGCAGGUAGAGACAGGUGUGUUACUCAGCUGUGCAGGUACAUACAGGUGUAUUAUUCGCCUGUACAGGUACUUACAGGUGUGUUACUUGCCUGUACAGUACAUACAGGCUUUUUACUCAUCUGUGCAGGUAGAGACAGGUGUGUUACUCAGCUGUAUAGUACAGACAGGUGUGUUACUCAGCUGUACAGGUACAUACAGGUGUGUUACUCGCCUGUACAGGUACAUACAAGUGUAUUAUUCGCCUGUACAGGUACAUACAGGUGUGUUACUUGCCUGUACAGUACA